GCACGCUCUGAUGGCCUAGUGGUUAGAGUACCCGCCUCUGAAGCGGGAGAUCAUUGUUUCGAACACCAAAUACGUACA